rnacentral:rRNA from 1 species
AGCAGUAGCCGCGGGAAUACAGAGGGUGCGAGCGUUAAUCGGAUUUACUGGGCGUAAAGCGUGCGUAGGCGGCUUUUUAAGUCGGAUGUGAAAUCCCUGAGCUUAACUUAGGAAUUGCAUUCGAUACUGGGAAGCUAGAGUAUGGGAGAGGAUGGUAGAAUUCCAGGUGUAGCGGUGAAAUGCGUAGAGAUCUGGAGGAAUACCGAUGGCGAAGGCAGCCAUCUGGCCUAAUACUGACGCUGAGGUACGAAAGCAUGGGGAGCAAACAGGAUUAGACCCCCGUAGUCCCUGUCUCUUAUACAC